rnacentral:rRNA from 1 species
GGGGGGGGGGGGGGGGGGGGGGGGGGGGGGGGGGGCGGGGGGGGGGGGGGGGGGUUGCACCUGGUGGCGAGGGGCGAGGGGGUGCGUAGUACCUCGGACCGUGUCCUGUGGGGGGGGGUAGCCCGGCGAAAGCCGGCUUCAUACCGCAUGCGAGCCACGGCUGGCAGCGUGGGCCCUUCGGGCCUCGCGCGAUCGGGUUCGCCGAUGGCUGAUUCGCUAGUUGGUGGGGUCACGGCCUACCAAGGCGACGAUCAGUAGCUGGUCUGAGAGGACGACCAGCAACACUGGGACUGAGACACGGCCCAGACUCCUAAGGGAGGCAGCAGUGGGGAAUGUUGGACAAUGGGCGAAAGCCUGAUCCAGAAAUGCCGCGUGUGUGAAGAAGGCCUUCGGGUUGUAAAGCACUUUUGUCCGGAAAGAAAUACUUGGCGCUAAUACAGUCGGGGGAUGACGGUACCGGAAGAAUAAGCACCGGCUAACUACGUG